rnacentral:lncRNA from 1 species
GGGAAAGCAAGAGGUCUGAGCUUUUCUUGCACAGGAGGAAAGCAGAAAGUGGAGAGCGCGAGUUCUUUGAACAUAGCGCCACAAGAUCCAAACACCCCAAGCGGCAACGGCAAGCGCAAUAAGAAGUCCGCCAAGGAUCCCAAGGGGAAUGAUGAAAAGAAGGAUGAGGAUUUGGUAAGCAAUUCUAAGGGUUACGGUUUCGUUCACUUCCUGUUUGGUUCCUGGGAAAAUUUCUUAAGCUGAAGUUCUUGCAUUAGACUAUUUCUAACAGUGUAAACUUUAGUGCUUGUUCAUAAACACGAGAUAUCAAUACCCAAUAUAGAGUCUGCGACAUCUGUAGCAAUUAGUGAUAGAACUGUUCGAGUUGAUGGCCUCAAGUUACCACGUAUACAAGAGCAAAUAUUCAGAGUCAUGGCUCAAUUCAGAAAUCAUAAAUUAAUGCUCAGAUAUGUGCAGCUACUCUCAACCUAAACUUUGCC